UUGGUUGAUUCCUGCCAGUAGUGUAUGCUUCUCCUAAAGACUAAGCCAUGCAUGCCCCGAAUAAGAGGUUUCUCUCUGAAUCUGCGAACGGCUCCGCAAACCAGUUGUAAACUAGAGCAAGUCAGUCCAGCGGGCUUCGGCCUCUGGGCGAUAUGGAUAACCCUGGUAAUUCUGAGGCUAAUACAAGACCGCAACACCGGGCAGACCAGCAAUGGAUGCUCGGGGAUGUGUGAUAUGGCUUGACGACACCGGGAAUGGGCGCACAUCUUGACCGCCUUUCAACAUGGAUCCGGGACUCCCCUCGGGGAACCUGGCCCUGGCGGCUCUUGCUGUGUGCUUCUGACCUAUCAACUAGACGGCAGCGUAACGGACAUGCUAUGGUGACAACGGGUACAGAGGAUUAGGGUUCGAUCCUGGAGAGUGGGCCUGAGAGAUUGCUCAUACUUCUAAGGAAGGCAGCAGGCGCGCAACGUUCCCCUUGGGCAAUGCCCGAGGGCGUUAGGGGACAUAUGAAUGCCUGCCCAUUGGGUGGGCAAUUCAAAUGGGUCUGUUGUAAACAGGCUCUCGAGUAACAAUUAGAGGGACAAGUCA
rnacentral:rRNA from 1 species